UUAACUUAAAUUUGUAUGGAGUUGGAACAGUUUCCCUUCGUUUGCCGCUAGGGGCGCUGUUCCAACUCUAUACAAAUUUGAGUUA
rfam:Bombyx mori DNA, contig: Bm_scaf76_contig32067, strain: p50T/Dazao, build 2, whole genome shotgun sequence.